AUUGAACGCUGGCGGCAGGCCUAACACAUGCAAGUCGAACGAGUGGCGGACGGGUGAGUAAUGUAUGGGAAACUGCCCGAUGGAGGGGGAUAACUACUGGAAACGGUAGCUAAUACCGCAUACCAUCGGAUGUGCCCCGAUCGGAUUAGCUAGUAGGGGGGGUAAUGGCUCACCUCGGCGACGAUCCCUAGCUGGUUUGUGAGGAUGACCAGCCACACUGGAACUGAGACAGGGUCCAGACUCCUAAGGGAGGUAGCAGUGGGGAAGAUUGGACAAUGGGGGCAAGCAUGAGUCAGCCAUGCCGCGUGUAUGAAGAAGGCCUUCGGGUUGUAAAGUACUUGUAGCGGUGAUGCGUUACCCGCAGAAUAAGCACCGGCUAACUCCGUGACAGCAGCCGCGGUAAUAC
rnacentral:rRNA from 1 species